UACGAAGGGGGCUAGCGUUGCUCGGAAUCACUGGGCGUAAAGCGCACGUAGGCGGAUCGUUAAGUCGGGGGUGAAAUCCUGGAGCUCAACUCCAGAACUGCCUUCGAUACUGGCGAUCUUGGAGUCCGGGAGAGGUGAGUGGAACUCCGAGUGUAGAGGUGAAAUUCGUAGAUAUUCGGAGGAACACCAGUGGCGAAGGCGGCUCACUGGUCCAUUACUGACGCUGAGGUGCGAAAGCGUGGGGAGCAAACAGG
rnacentral:rRNA from 1 species